rnacentral:rRNA from 1 species
ACGAGGGGGGCAAGCGUUAUCCGGCAUGACUGGGCGUAAAGAGUCCGUAGACUGUACAAUAAGUUAGAUGUUAAAUCCUAAAGCUUAACUUUAUACUAGCAUUUAAGACUGUUGUACUUUGAGUUUUAUACAGAAGGUUAAAAUUUUAUUUGUAAGAGUAAAAUCUGAUUAUAAAUAAAGGAAUGCCAGCGGCGAAGGCGUAUCUUUAGUAAAAACUGACGUUGAGGGACGAAAGUGUAGGGAGCGAACAGG